GAGACUGAGGAAGAGCGCGGCGCGUAAGACCCGGCCGGCUCGGGAGCGACUCGAUUUGCCCAGCCCCUGCAGCACUGUGGUCGAGGAAAAGAUCAACGCCGCUGCGGGGCCGCGCUGACCGCGCAGAUACGCGAUCAGCGGCAACGCGAGCAACAGCAAUAGCAUCCACGGUUGCGCGAACGUGAAUUCCGUUCCCGCGGGAAGAAGAUCACGCAGGUUCAAGCUGCCCUCCUCGCACGAAACGCGUUGCUUCUUCGAUCAGCAGUUCGCUGUCAGCCACGGUCGCGUCGUAACGCGCGAACUUGAUCAGGUCGCAACGAUUCAGGAAAUCACCGAGCAGCGCGCGGUCUUCCUCAGAGAACGACGACGUCCGCGCCAGUGACUCCAGGAACUCCACGGACGUCUGUCGCGUCAACGGUAAUUGAUACUGCUCCG
rnacentral:misc_RNA from 1 species